AACAAGGCAACACAUCGGUGCUCCACCUCAAGCCAGUGGCCGGGAUUCCCAUCUACAUGCUCAAGCUCGAGGAUGCCAGUCAAAACAAGAGUGGGAACUGCAGCUCUCUGGUCCUGACGGGUGGCACGGAGGAGCCAUUUGACACAAUUGUCUUCACGGCACACUGGCACCAACAAGUCUUCCCGGGCUGCACCUACAGGGUCUGGUUCAGGCCGAGGACCGAAUGUCAAACAGAUAUGAUCGGCGCCAAGGACAAGGAACUGCCGAGGCUUCAGUACG